GAAAAUGAUGAGAGUUAUUGUCGCCCCAGUCUUAUGUUGCAUUCAAUUUAUUGGAUUUGCAAGGUGGUGAUUGACACAUCAUAUCUGAUUC
rnacentral:snoRNA from 1 species